CGGCGCCACGUCCGCACGCCGGGCCGAGCGUGGGGAGGGGCUAAGCCCGGGACGCUGGGAGGAGCCGGCGUGGUGGGGCGGGAGCCCGUCGGUGUUGGGGGCUCACACUGAGUGGAGGGAUAUGAUGGAGACAUCCCUGUUAGGACAGGAUGUUCCACCUCUGAAUACUGUCUGGCUGAGGGCGUCUGUAUGAGUUCCCAACUGCUGCAGGAGGAAGCUUCUCUGAUGAUGACUGAGCAAGACACUGAUCUAUGAGCAUACAGAAUCGUAUUAAGAAUAAUUUUAUUGGUACAUUGUUUUUCUUUUUUAAGAACAGUAGUAUUUGGAUUUACCCGAGGUCCCUCAAGCAGUGUUCGGAAUGGGUUUCAUAAGUCAAACCAGAUAUUGGUUGGUUACUCCACAAGCUUUGUAAUACCAGCAUAUCUUGCAGACAGGACACCAUUUUAGAUCAAAGGGUUUGUGGCUGGGUUGGUGUUUAUAUUUCUCUUUUAGAAGCCUGUAGACUAACUUUAAAACAUAAGGGUGAAGACUUUAUUUAGGCACCGGCCACGUUCAGUGUUCUCCAUGUUCAAUAAGUAGGUGUUGUCUUCAGCAGUGGGCCUUGCUGUCAGUUUGUGGAGAGCAGCCUACAGUUUUGGCAACAGCUUCAGUUGCUUGAGGCUUCUCGUGGAUCCCUUUGGCUAGCAGCUCAGUCAGAUGUAACACAAUCCUGUGACUGGAAGCUUCAUUUUGUGACAAGAGAUGGCCACAUGGGACUCUUGUCUCCCUCAUUAUUUGUCAACUUCAAUUAGGUCACCUUUUCAUAUAUGUGUAUGUUUUAGAAAGCUUCUGCUGUAUUAGGGUCUGUUCCACAUCCUUCAAUCUAUGGCUGUUUCUUCUAUUCCCUUUCCUGGGUAGAUCUGUCUGUCCCCUCUAGUCCCUUAAUCUAUACCUAGCCUACCUAACAUCUGUGUUCUGCAGAUUGUUGCUAGGUUAUCAUCGACUCCCAUAUCAGUGAAUAUAUACCAAAUUUCUCUCUCUGGCUCUGGGACGCCUCACCAAGAUGAUUUUUCUAGUUCCAUCCAUUUACCUGGAGGGUUUUUUUUUUUUUUCUUAAGCUGAGACGUGCUCUAUUGUGUAAAUAUACCACAUUUUCUUUAUCUAGUCUUGUGCUGAGGGAUGUCUAGGUUGCUGCCGAUUUCUGGCUAUCAUGAGUAGCAAUGAACAUGGCUGAGCAAGUGCCCUUAUGUAAUGUAUAUGCCUAAGAGCGGCAUAGCUGGAUCUUGAUGGGUUCCCAUUUCCCGAGCUACUGCCACAAUAUGAUUUCCGCAUUGGCUCACAGGUUAGCACAGUAGGAAUUCCUAGUUCUUCCCUCAGCAGUAGGAUGCUGAGAAGCUUCAGUUCCUUAUGCUUUGGGGGUAACUUUCCUCCUGUGGCCCUGUUGUGGGGACUCGGUGCUCUUUGGCUCAGGAGCCGCCUCUCCCAUCUUCAAAGCUGCCAGUGACAACUGUCUUCUUACUCAGUACCUCAUGAUGACCUUGCAUCUGCUCCUUUUUUAUCUUGAGUUCUGUUGGGAUUAGUUAGGACCGUCAGGUAAACCAGAGUACUCUCCCUGUUCUAAGGGCAGCUUAGUGGACAUCUUACCCAUAGCUGUGGGUUUCACAUAGUAGUGGUUAGUCUAAUGAAGGGAAGCUCUCAGAUAUGAAACAGUGGCCGUGAUUCCUUUUCCUUCUGAAGACCGUUCUGAUCAGAGUGUUCUGUUUUCUGCAAGUCCCAGGACACUUUAUUUGCUCUGCCCAGUUCACACUGCAUGGAGUCUCUAACACAGCUUAGCAAACAUCAUUCUGCUACCCAGCGAGUAGAUGCAUUUGGCUGUGAAAUAUAGCUUACCAAUUCCUUUUUUUUUUUUUUAAAGAUUUAUGUCUUUUAUUAUAUGUGAGUACACUGUAGCUAUCUUCAGACACACCAAAAGAGGGCAUCCGGUCUCAUUAUAGAUGGUUGUGAGCCACCAUGUGGUUGCUGGGAUUUGAACUCAAGGCCAUUGGAAGAGCAGUCAGUUCUCUUAAGCACCGAGCCAUCUCUCCAGCCCCCAGUUCCUUGUUAAUAAUUCUUGGGAAUCUUGGUUUAGUUGGAAUAAAUGCUUGAGGAGGAGAGCGUAAGGAGGCUGGGUUGCAAUCUCCGCUGUACAGGUUAGGUUCUCUGCUUUGCAGGGUCUCUGCAGCUUUGCAGCAUCUAGACUGAGGCACUCAGUUGAGAUAUUCUAGUGCUGGGCUCCAUGACAAGACACAGCGAGGUGGCUUUUCAGGAAUGCUUUUGGAAUUACUGUCCUCAUUAAAUGGGUUAUCAAUGCUUUGUGGUGAGACGCUGUUCUAACCAUGGGGUUUAUCAGGUAUCAAAUGCAUGCGCCCGUUGAGGUUGUGGGUAAUAGCGACUGUAGAGGUGGAGGCAGAGCUAUGGGACAGCACCAUCGUAAAGCUGCAGGAAACAGUCCCCUAGGCUAUACCACAGCCUUGUGUGUGCCGCACUCCUGCUCUACCUCUCAUGUGUCAUUAUGACUUGCCUGGGCUUGUGUUAUAAUAAGAUAAAAAGUGUCAUUUGAGGGUGGGAGGGCAUUGGUUGCUAAGCCUGCUGACCUGGAGAGAAUUGAUUCCUGCAAACUGCUCUUUGACCUCCCCAUAUCCCUUGUGGCAUGCCCCUUCCCAACCCCCCAAAUAAGUCUGUCUAAGCUAUGACUAAGGGCUGAAGUGUACAAUUCAGUGAGACAAUAAAAUCAAGCUUUUCACUGGAGAAAUAGAAAACCCAAAACAACAAAAGAUACUGUGCACGUGUCUAAUCCUAACUUACAGGCACUGGUCAUUUCUAAUAUGGUAGUUUGUGCCACAUUAGUACUCUUUAGGAUAAAGGUUUUCAUGGCCUUAACCCCAAUCUAAUGAGCUUUUAGGUGGGCAAAGGUCUUUUUUUCUCUUGUUCUGGUUUGUUCUCACUAUGUGAGCACUUUGUGUGGCUCAUGAUGGGUCCUCGGUAAAUGUUUGCUGUCUGUUUACUUAUUUUCCUCCUUGCUCUGACCAAGUACCUGACAACAAACAGCUUAAGGGAGAAAGGAUUGUUUUCUGUUCAUGGUUUGAGGGCAUAGCCCAAUUGGCAGAGAAGGCUCUGCUGGGCAUCAGGAACCGGAAGCAGCUGGUUACAUGUGCCUGGAGCCAGAAAGCAGAGGGAGAUGAGUGAUAUUCGCAGCUCUCCUUCUCAUUUUCCAUUUUUCUGAAUGGACCUGUGGGGUAGUGCCGCCCACAUUCAGGGUGAGCUUUCUCCUUUGCGUCUGGAAACACCCUCACAUACAGGAGAUGUGUCUCUUCCAUGAUUCUACUGUCUAGUUGGGCUGACAAUGGAGACUAAGUAUCAGGUUUACCAAGUGGAUGUACGGAUAAGUAGUACACAGUCACACAGGGACUUGAGUUGUUACUGCUUGUGACAACUCACAAGCCGUUACACACAUAGGAUAGGUUGGGCUCUUAGUUAAAUGUGCUUGUCCAUCAUAGUAAUUGAGCAGAAAUGAUGUUAGAAUAGCUAGGAAGCUCAAAAUACCCCGCGAGCUUUAAGUUUAGUAUUUGCUGGAAGUUUUGCUGCGUUCCUUUCUUAACAUUUGUGGUGAGGCACAGAAGCAGUUGUUAGGGAUUGCUAGGGAUUUAGUUUGUGAGCAAAAUCUCACAUCACUUUUUAGAGUUGGGUUUAAUUAAUUGAAAAAUACCCUGAAAUUAGAAGAUGAAGAAGUACUGUGUGAUCAGGACUUUUAAAAAAGUUUAUUUACAAAGUAUAAAAGUAACAUUGACUUAAAAAGCACAGGAAGGUAUCAUUCCCAAGGAUUAUAUAUAUAUAUAUAAUACAUAAUAUAAUACAUAUAAUUAUACAUAUAUAUAUAUAUAUAUAAACCACAACAUAUAUAUCAUUAAAAACACAGUUGGCUUGUGUUGUAGAUAGAUACAGUUUGCAGUUACAUCCCUGCAAAACACUAUACUUCUUGGAUUCACAAAGUCUUGGCCUAAAUUCUUGGUUUUGUUUUGUUUACUAGGUAUAUUUAAAAUUUUAAAAAGUUUUCAUGUGCAUGUUUGCACGUUUGCAUGCUCAGGAGAGCAGAUGAUUCUCUGGACUGGAGUGUAGAUGAUUGUGUGCCGCUUUGUGGGUGCUAGGAAUUGAACCCAGUGUUCUUAACUACUGAGCCAUCUUUCUAGCUGUAUUUUUUGAAAAACUACUACAUAUCUGUUUUCUCCUUUUCCUUUUAUUAUAAAAGAAAGCUGAGCCAUGAGACUAUUGCAGGGUUAAACAAUUCAUUAUUUAAAGCACUUGAAAGUAGCCCUUGCCAGUAAACAUAACGUAGUUUAGUUGUUACUACUGAAAAUUGCUAUAUUUACCUAAGUGUAAUUUUGAGUCUUUCCUUAUUGCCUCAUAUGUUCACUGUAUACACAGUAUUAACAAUUCUGCUAAUAUUUUAUAUUAUGGUUAUAUAUAUAUUUAUAACUUACUUAAAUAGAAAAGGCCUGCCUUGCAAAUGCUCAGGUUGAUAAUGCUACGGUGGGCGUUUGUAACUUUGUGCUUAUGAAAGCAAAUGUAGAGGGUGUCCACUGGGAGAAAGCCUCACACAGCUCACCUCUGACAGGUCUACUGUGCCUGUCCAGAUGACCUCCCAGGGACUGUGCUGUGACGUCCGUCUUCUUACCACCUCACCCCGUUUUCAUCAUGUGUGUAUUUGCUCUUACUGGUCUGCAUUGCUGGGGGUGGAACUCAGGGCCUAACACAUGCCUGUGCAAGUGCCUGCUGCUGAACUCUAGUUUCUUGAUGUCAGGUGACUAAACCAACCUUCAGGAAUUGGGAACUGGGAUUGAUAUUCCUCAUCCCUGAUAUUAAGUCAAAGUUGCUGAUGUUUGUAUAUUUUACUUGAUAAAUAAGCUAUAAGAUAUACUUGUAGUCACAAAAAUUACACUUCUAGCAUGCAUAUUGGGGUUUAGGUAAGAGUUCAUUAGUAAGAUGGUUUAUGCUUGAUUUCCUCUGAAGAUGAACAUUGCUGUUUCCUAAAUGAAGCUCUUUCCCCUGAGAUGGGUUUCCCAUGAUUCACUGAGGGACUCACUCGUCUACCCUUAGUGAGCCUACCAACUGUAUGAAACACCUUUGAACGGUCUGGGCUUUGCUUCACCACUGUCUUAUAGUACGCUGACCAUUCUGUAGUUUCAUGAAGUCAUUUCUGAGCCCAUUUUGUCUUUGUAGUUACAACUCUUGGAAAAAGCAAGGUUAGGAUUAUUGCAUGAAUCCAUACAUGUGUGUAAGAAUAUAUGUUGACUUAAAUUGUAAUAAAACUUAGUUUGAUGGUUGAGUAAUUAUGCAAAAAAUAGCAACUCAGAUGCCUAUUUUUGGAUUUGAAAAUAUGUAUAUGUAGUAAUGAAAUUUCAAGUGAUACACACUAACUUUUUUUUUUUAGCAUAUAUUACAUUAGUCUUAAAAAUAAUGGGUUUCCCUGUUGGAUUUUCAUAUAUGCUAAGAAGUCAGAAUUGAUCCACAUAAUUUUUUUGUCCUAAUUUUGUGGGUGUUACUAUAUAAA